UGGUUUCUAUCAUGUUUCUAUUUAAGGGGAAUUACGCAUUAUCAGCCACAAUAUAUUAGGUAGUUGGCAAAUAUAUUGAAAACCAACAUACAUAAUAUUUACUUGUUUGGAUUGACACCGUUCUUGCUUCUUUUCUUCGUUAAUUAUAUCUUGUAGGAUGGAGACCCUGGCAAAAGGCCUAGUGUUCGGACUGGGUGUGGCCAUAGCCUUAGUGGCAGUAGCAGUGGACUGGUGGCAGCAUCGUAACAUACCACAGCAGCAGAAUGUAUAUGGGCAACGCGCUCCACACAGACAUAACCAUUAGUUAACUAUAUUAGGAUUAAAAUCUGUAUGACAACACAAUCUCAUAAUUUUAAGCAAUAUGAAGCAAAUAAUUUGAAUUUUUAGGGUUAUUUUAGACGGAUAAGUGAGCAUUGACGGAAAAAGGAGAGACUGAACCUGUGCGGUGGGCGAUUUAUCGAUCUAUUUAGUGGUACCAAGUGAGGCACAACGUCAAUGGUAUUUAUGCCGUCGCGCGUUGGUUCGUCAAUCAACCUUUCUCUUCUCGCCAGUAUGAACGACACAGUAGAAAAAUAAGCUACUGAAAGAACAGUUAUAGUUACUUACCAGUUUCCGGAUUGCACCUAAGCAUCGUAAGCUAUUCAUUCUCUAGUUAUUUGGACAUAACAGCUUGUUAUGUCCAAAUAACAGUGUUAUGCUUAGAUAUUUAGCGGCACACUACAGAGUAGCUGUACUGAUCUCUAAGAAUGAGAAAGGUUUAAGACAUAGUCUGCCACGCUGGCCCCGUGCGGAUUGCUUAUUAAUCAUUGACAAUAAUUUAUGAUUUUUCACAUUUAUUUUAUAGACAUUACUUAAGUUAUUAUGUUAAUGCUAUAUAAUAAAAAACAUUAUUCAAGA